rnacentral:rRNA from 1 species
CAGGACGAACGCUGGCGGCGUGCCUAAUACAUGCAAGUCGAACGGUCUUUCUAUGGAAGCCUGCUUCCACUGAAAAGAUAGUGGCGAACGGGUGAGUAACACGUGGGUAACCUGCCCAUAAGAGGGGGGAUAACAUCCGGAAACGGGUGCUAAUACCGCAUAGUUUUCUUGAUCGCAUGAUCGGGAAAGGAAAGACGGCCUUUGUGCUGUCGCUUAUGGAUGGACCCGCGGCGUAUUAGUUAGUUGGUGAGGUAACGGCUCACCAAGACGAUGAUACGUAGCCGACCUGAGAGGGUGAUCGGCCACAUUGGGACUGAGACACGGCCCAAACUCCUACGGGAGGCAGCAGUAGGGAAUCUUCCGCAAUGGACGAAAGUCUGACGGAGCAACGCCGCGUGAGUGAAAGAAGGUUUUCGGAUCGUAAAACUCUGUUGUCAGAGAAGAACAAGUUGGAGAGUAACUGCUCCAGCCUUGACGGUAUCUGACCAGAAAGCCACGGCUAACUACGUGCCAGCCGCGGC